UUCACAGGCUGAAGACAUAGACUGGGAGCCCAGGAGAAUGUGCAAGGAGACUUGGGGGCAAGAAGGAGCCGGGGACACCAUAAUACACAGGAGCAGAGGAGGAUAAAGCCUCAUAGAUGGGGGAGGGGGUCUUAGAAGGCAGCAGCUGACAGGGUGACCCAUUUAGUGCAUUGCUCUCUGGCAUUACCACUUUGCUUCUAGUACUAGACCCACAUAAGGAAGCAAAGGGCUGAUGGGUGUGCAAGGACUCAGGAUGGGAUAGGAUUACACGCAGCUCAGGCGGCAGUGACUGCACCCCAAUAUUCAGACUGCACCCCCCUCCCAAGACCUCACCAUGGAGAUUAUGGACGAGGAUGCAUCCCAACAGGAAGAAAUGAUUCUUGGCCCCAGUUUCCCGCUGUACCCCACUCCAGCGGAUCUGGGGCCGGACGCUGGGAUGUACAUGGAGUUUAUGAUGAAGCACCGAUGCUACGACGCCAUCCCCACAAGCUGCAAGCUGGUCGUGUUUGACACGUCUCUACAGAUUAAGAAAGCCUUUUUGGCCCUGGUGGCGAACGGGGUGCGGGCGGCGCCUCUCUGGGACAGCAAGCAGCAUUGUUUUGUGGGAAUGCUGACCAUCACCGACUUCAUCAACAUCCUGCACAGAUACUACAAGGCUCCGCUGGUGCAGAUAUAUGAGCUGGAGGAGCAUAAGAUUGAGACGUGGAGAGAAGUUUACCUGCAGAGUUCCUUCAAGCCCCUGAUCUACAUCGCCCCCUGUGACAGUCUCUUCCACGCUGUCUAUUCGCUCAUCAAGAACAAGAUUCACCGUUUACCAGUGAUGGAUCCAGCGUCUGGCAAUAUCCUCCACAUCCUCACCCACAAGCGCCUGCUGAAAUUCCUGCAUAUAUUUGGGAGAACCAUUCCCAGACCGUGCUUCCUGCAGAGGACCAUCCUGGAGUUGGGGAUUGGCACCUUCAGAGAUGUCGCCAUGAUUCACGACACUUCAUCCAUCUACAGCGCGCUGGAGAUCUUUGUGGAGAGGAGAGUGUCCGCGCUACCUGUAGUGAACGAGGCUGGACAGGUCGUAGGGUUAUAUUCUCGCUUUGACGUCAUACAUUUAGCAGCCCAGAAGGUGUAUAAUAACCUGGAUAUAACAGUGGGCGAAGCUUUGCGGCGGCGCUCCUUGUCUCUGGAAGGUGUUCUUAUGUGUUAUCCGCAUGAGACCUUGGAAGCUGUGAUUGACCGUAUAGUACGAGAACAGGUUCAUCGAUUUGUCCUGGUGGAUGAAGAACAUCGGCCCCGCGGGAUUGUGUCCCUGUCUGACAUCCUUCAAGCACUGGUUUUAUCCCCCGCAGGUAUUGAUGCCCUUAAUUCCUAACCCUGCGAAGGCUCUUUUCUACCUUCACCCUGCACCUCCUUCUCCUCUCUAAGGCACAGGUCUGGACCGCAAUUCCUUGUGAUCGAGUCCAUGGGAAUGCAUGGAUCCAGCCUCCAACAGGAGAAUGACAGGACAUUUUAUAUCUAGGGGGCGCUGUUUCAUCCACCAAGGACGACUGGAUGCCUGAUCAUGUGAUGAGAGGACGACACGAGCAGGGUCACUUACCGCCUGGAGGAUGGCAGUCACCUUGAAGGACACAAGUUUUCUUCCAGAUGCAUUCAAGGAAUCCUGCAGUCUUGGCGUAGUCCUCCACUGUAUGUCUCAUAUACAGUGUAUUGUAUUGUGUGGUCAUGAGAACUUUGGAGACUGGAGUGGGAAUCAUUCAAAAUUUAUUGCUGGAGACGUCCUCGGACCUGUGAGUGGGGCUCAUCGUCAUGUGCCAUAUGGAGAUACGAUAUGUUUACACCGUCCACACGCA